GGAGAGGUGUCCGAGCGGUUUAAGGAGCACGCCUGGAAAGCGUGUAUACGGGGAACUGUAUCGGGGGUUCGAAUCCCCCUCUCUCCGCCA
rnacentral:tRNA from 1 species